AACGAACGCUGGCGGCAGGCCUAACACAUGCAAGUCGAGCGAUGAAGCACCUUCGGGUGUGGAUUAGCGGCGAACGGGUGAGGAACACGUGAGGAAUCUGCCUUCCACUCUGGGAUAACUCCGGGAAACCGGGGCUAAUACCGGAUACUUUCAACUGGCGGCAUCGCCGGUUGAAGAAAGUUUUUCGGUGGAAGAUGACCUCGCGGCCUAGCAGCUUGUUGGUGAGGUAAUGGCUCACCAAGGCGACGACGGGUAGCCGGCCUGAGAGGGCGACCGGCCACACUGGGACUGAGACACGGCCCAGACUCCUACGGGAGGCAGCAGUGGGGAAUAUUGGGCAAUGGAGGAAACUCUGACCCAGCGACGCCGCGUGAGGGAUGAAGGCCUUCGGGUUGUAAACCUCUUUCAGCAGGGAAUAAGCGAAAGUGAAGGUACCUGCAGAAGAAGCACCGGCUAACUAUGUGCCAGCAGCCGCCGUAA
rnacentral:rRNA from 1 species